GUGAGGAAUAUUGGUCAAUGGGCGGAAGCCUGAACCAGCCAAGUAGCGUGCAGGAAGACGGCCCUACGGGUUGUAAACUGCUUUUAUGCGGGGAUAAAGUGCAAUACGUGUAUUGCUUUGCAGGUACCGCAUGAAUAAGGACCGGCUAAUUCCGUGCCAGCAGCCGCGGUAAUACGGAAGGUCCGGGCGUUAUCCGGAUUUAUUGGGUUUAAAGGGAGCGCAGGCCGCCCCUUAAGCGUGUUGUGAAAUGCCGCGGCUCAACCGUGGCACUGCAGCGCGAACUGGGGGGCUUGAGUGCGCCGGAGGUAGGCGGAAUUCGUGGUGUAGCGGUGAAAUGCUUAGAUAUCACGAAGAACUCCGAUUGCGAAGGCAGCCUACCGUAGCGUUACUGACGCUGAGGCUCGAAGGUGCGGGUAUCGAACAGG
rnacentral:rRNA from 1 species